UACGGGGGGGCAAGCGUUGUUCGGAAUUACUGGGCGUAAAGGGCUUGUAGGUGGCCAACUAAGUCAGACGUGAAAUCCCUCGGCUUAACCGGGGAACUGCGUCUGAUACUGGAUGGCUAGAGUGUGGGAGAGGGAUGCGGAAUUCCAGGUGUAGCGGUGAAAUGCGUAGAUAUCUGGAGGAACACCGGUGGCGAAGGCGGCAUCCUGGACCAAUACUGACACUGAGGAGCGAAAGCCAGGGGAGCAAACGGG
rnacentral:rRNA from 1 species